rnacentral:piRNA from 1 species
UAACACGAACAUUAAUGUAAC